rnacentral:rRNA from 1 species
AGCAUGUGGCUUAAUUCGAGGCAAACGCGAAGAACCUUACCUAGAUUUGACAUAUACAGGACAGUCGUGGAAACACGAUCUCCCGCAAGGGUCUGUAUACAGGUGCUGCAUGGCUGUCGUCAGCUCGUGCCGUGAGGUGUUCGGUUAAGUCCGGCAACGAGCGCAACCCAUGUCAUUAGUUGCUACCAGGUAAUGCUGAGCACUCUAAUGAGACUGCCUAUGUUAAGUAGGAGGAAGGCGUGGAUGACGUCAAGUCCGUAUGGCCUUUAUAUCUAGGGCUGCACACGUGCUACAAUGGAUAAUACAGAGGGAAGCAAUAUCGCGAGAUGGAGCUGAUCCGUAAAGUUAUCCUUAGUUCAGAUUGCAGUCUGCAACUCGACUGCAUGAAGCCGGAAUCGCUAGUAAAGGCGUAUCAGCCACGACGCCUUGAAUACGUUCCCGGGCCUU